rnacentral:rRNA from 1 species
CAGAUGAUGCCUAUCAACUGUUUAAAGAAUGGUUCUGCUAUCACUCUUGGAUGGACCUGCGGUGCAUUAGCUAGUUGGUAGGGGUAACGGGCCUACCCAAGGCGAUGAUGCAUAGCCCGAGUUGAGAGACUGAUCGGGCCACAUUGGGACUGAGACACGGCCAAAACUCCUACGGGAGGCAGCAGUAGGGAAUCUUCCACAAUGGACGCAAGUCUGAUGGAGCAACGCCGCGUGAGUGAAGAAGGGUUUCGGCUCGUAAAGCUCUGUUGUUGGUGAAGAAGGACAGGGGUAGUAACUGACCUUUGUUUGACGGUAAUCAAUUAGAAGUCACGGCUAACUACGUGCCAGCAGCCGCGGUAAU